rnacentral:rRNA from 1 species
UUGAACGCUGGCGGCUGCCUUACACAUGCAGUCGAACGGCAGCACGGGUGCUUGCACCUGGUGGCGAGUGGCGAAGGGGUGAGUAAUACAUCGGAACAUGUCCUGUAGUGGGGGAUAGCCCGGCGAAAGCCGGAUUAAUACCGCAUACGAUCUACGGAUGAAAGCGGGGGACCUUCGGGCCUCGCGCUAUAGGGUUGGCCGAUGGCUGAUUAGCUAGUUGGUGGGGUAAAGGCCUACCAAGGCGACCAUCAGUAGCUGGUCUGAGAGGACGACCAGCCACACUGGGACUGAGACACGGCCCAGACUCCUACGGGAGGCAGCAGUGGGGAAUUUUGGACAAUGGGCGAAAGCCUGAUCCAGCAAUGCCGCGUGUGUGAAGAAGGCCUUCGGGUUGUAAAGCACUUUUGUCCGGAAAGAAAUCCUUGGCUCUAAUACAGUCGGGGGAUGACGGUACCGGAAGAAUAAGCACCGGCUAACUACGUGCCAGCAGCCGCGGUAAUACGUAGGGUGCGAGCGUUAAUCGGAAUUACUGGGCGUAAAGCGUGCGCAGGCGGUUUGCUAAGACCGAUGUGAAAUCCCCGGGCUCAACCUGGGAACUGCAUUGGUGACUGGCAGGCUAGAGUAUGGCAGAGGGGGGGUAGAAUUCCACGUGUAGCAGUGAAAUGCGUAGAGAUGUGGAGGAAUACCGAUGGCGAAGGCAGCCCCCUGGGCCAAUACUGACGCUCAUGCACGAAAGCGUGGGGAGCACACAGGAUUAGAUACCCUGGUAGUCCACGCCCUAAACGAUGUCAACUAGUUGUUGGGGAUUCAUUUCCUUAGUAACGUAGCUAACGCGUGAAGUUGACCGCCUGGGGAGUACGGUCGCAAGAUUAAAACUCAAAGGAAUUGACGGGGACCCGCACAAGCGGUGGAUGAUGUGGAUUAAUUCGAUGCAACGCGAAAAACCUUACCUACCCUUGACAUGGUCGGAAUCCCGCUGAGAGGUGGGAGUGCUCGAAAGAGAACCGGCGCACAGGUGCUGCAUGGCUGUCGUCAGCUCGUGUCGUGAGAUGUUGGGUUAAGUCCCGCAACGAGCGCAACCCUUGUCCUUAGUUGCUACGCAAGAGCACUCUAAGGAGACUGCCGGUGACAAACCGGAGGAAGGUGGGGAUGACGUCAAGUCCUCAUGGCCCUUAUGGGUAGGGCUUCACACGUCAUACAAUGGUCGGAACAGAGGGUUGCCAACCCGCGAGGGGGAGCUAAUCCCAGAAAACCGAUCGUAGUCCGGAUUGCACUCUGCAACUCGAGUGCAUGAAGCUGGAAUCGCUAGUAAUCGCGGAUCAGCAUGCCGCGGUGAAUACGUUCCCGGGUCUUGUACACACC